rnacentral:rRNA from 1 species
AGAUUGAACGCUGGCGGCAGGCCUAACACAUGCAAGUCGAGCGGCAGCACGGGUACUUGUACCUGGUGGCGAGCGGCGGACGGGUGAGUAAUGCCUAGGAAUCUGCCUAGUGGUGGGGGAUAACGUUCGGAAACGGACGCUAAUACCGCAUACGUCCUACGGGAGAAAGCGGGGGACUUUCGGGCCUCGCGCCAUUAGAUGAGCCUAGGUCGGAUUAGCUUAGUUGGUGAGGUAAUGGCUCACCAAGGCGACAGUCCGUAACUGGUCUGAGAGGAUGAUCAGUCACACGUGGAACUGACGACACGGUACCAGGACCUCG